rnacentral:lncRNA from 1 species
GAGCAGUUCAUUCCAGUGGGAGCUGCCUGCCAGGUGCCUCGCCCUGUGGUACUGGCAGACAUGACAUAGACACCGGACACUUCACUUCCUCUUUUCUCCAGGAACUUUAACCCAGUAGUCGCUUCAGAGGCUGGGGCUUUAACCAGGCAUCAAGACUUGGAUCGCAAGUAGUUUCUGCAGGAGGCGCGCGCCGCCCUAGAGCCGGCCAGCGAGCCCGGCUUCGCCGCCCGCUUGCAGGCGCAGCGCAUCUGCCUGGAACGCGCCGAGGCGGGCCCGCUGGGCGUGGCCGGGAGCGCGCGUGUGCUGGACCUUGCCUACGAGAAGCGCGUGAGUGUGCGCUGGAGCGCCGACGGCUGGCGGAGCCAACGCGAGGCCCCCGCCUCCUACGCCGGUCCGGCCCCGCCCCCGCCGCGCGCGGAUCGCUUCGCCUUCCGCCUUCCGGCGCCACCCAUUGGGGGCGCCCUGCUUUUCGCCUUGCGCUACCGCGUGACCGGCCACGAGUUCUGGGACAACAACGGCGGCCGUGACUAUGCUCUACGGGGGCCCGAGCACCCCGGGAGUGGCGGAGCCCCGGAGCCCCAGGGCUGGAUCCACUUUAUCUGAGACUCCUGCGGCCGACGGCGCAAAAAGCAAAGGCACCCAGGGGCCGGGGGAGCCCGAAGAUUUGGCUGGGAAGAACGAAAGAAACCGAAAUUGGCUGGGAGCUGUCCAAGAGAGUCAAGGGUGGAGAACCCACUUCCUUUUCUCCAAGACCAUGGUUGAUCCACCUUCCUCCCUCAGGCUCCUUCUUGACAGUCUUCUAGAAAGGAGAAGAGGGAAAAGAAGCAGUUCCUGAUGCACAUGAACAACUGCUCCCAGGUGGCAAGACAUUUGAUCCAUCUGUAGAACAAGUUCCCGGUUGCUCUAGGCGCUACAUUUACAACGACGCUGCUGACGGCGGUUGGGCCCUCGGCUGGGCGGGCGCGGCUCAGCUCGUGCGUAAGUCUGACAAGGGGGUGCUGAAAAAAGUCUUCCUUCAGGAGGAACAAAUAGGGAAUAAUUGUAAGGCAAUUCAACAAACUGCUGUGAAUUCCCAGGGGAAUUUCGGGACGACCAGGACUAGCAGUGCUCCGAAGGUCCGGCGCGGAAAGGUCGAAGGCGGGGGGAGGUACCAUUCACAGCACCCUGGCCCCGGGGGACAUCUUCCUUGCCCCACGCAGCCAAUAGCCACCCCGGCUGAAGCCGACGCAGCCAAUAGCCGACUUCAGCCGAGACUCACGCAGCCAAUGGUCGGCCCAGUGCGUUCCGCCAGUGUCCG